ACAAAAGCAGUUUACAAUCCGAAGACCUUCAUCCUGCACGCGGCAUGGCUGGAUCAGGGUUGCCCCCAUUGUCCAAAAUUCCCCA
rnacentral:rRNA from 1 species